rnacentral:lncRNA from 1 species
AAGAAGAUGGUAAAGUAUAACCAGCUGAUAGCACUUCAUUCCCCUAUGGUACAAAAGUCUCUUUUUCCUAGUUCUCACACUCCAGAAGAUUAUCAUUAAAAUGCAGCACAUCAUCCUCUAAAUCUGUAAUUGAAAGAACUUUUGAUACUCUGGUAGGCAACAAAAUCUGAGGAGAACUGGCAAAAUAUGGAGGGGAAAAUAUAAAAGGUACUGAUCAAGAAAAAUCCAUGAGCACUGAAAGAGCUCCAUAUGUGACACUGUUUACUGGUGCUGAUAAUGUCACGUGGAACCAGAGCUAUUUGGCAUGCCUGAAACUCAAAUCCAUGGCAUGAAAGUUGAAGAAGCAGCAGACAGGAAACAGCAAAAAAACCUGUGAAAUGCAUAGUUUUGAAAAGUUGCGCCAUAUAUUUUCUCAGAAUCA